rnacentral:misc_RNA from 1 species
AGUCGUAACAAGGUCUCCGUUGGUGAACCAGCGGAGGGAUCAUUAUCGAGUUUAUUCAACUCCCAACCCUUUGUGAACCUACCUUUAUGUUGCUUCGGCGGUGACGCGCCGGGUUGCUCCCUCAGGGAGCUCCCGGGACCACGCGCCCGCCGGAGACCACAAACUCUUGAUUUUGCGAAAGCAGUAUUCUUCUGAGUGGCCGAAAGGCAAAAAAACAAAUGAAUCAAAACUUUCAACAACGGAUCUCUUGGUUCUGGCAUCGAUGAAGAACGCAGCGAAAUGCGAUAAGUAAUGUGAAUUGCAGAAUUCAGUGAAUCAUCGAAUCUUUGAACGCACAUUGCGCCCGCCAGCAUUCUGGCGGGCAUGCCUGUUCGAGCGUCAUUUCAACCCUCGAGCUCGUCUUCAUUGACGAGAUCGGUGUUGGGACCCGGCGAUCGGGGACUUUAGUUCCUCUGCCGGUCCUGAAAUUCAGUGGCGGCCCGUUGCGGCGACCUCUGCGUAGUAACUUAACCUCGCACUGGGACAGCAGCGCGGCCACGCCGUAAAACCCCCGACUUUUUUUAAGGUUGACCUCGAAUCAGGUAGGACUACCCGCUGAACUUAAGCAUAUCAAUAA